rnacentral:rRNA from 1 species
AGCUCCAAUAGCGUACAUUAAAGUUGUUGCAGUUAAAAAGCUCGUAGUUGGAUUUCUGGUGUCGUGUUGUAUCCGUACGAUUAAGUUCGUCUCGAGUUACAUUCACGUCGCCAUCUUUUAACAGAGCUUGCCUGGCAUUAGGUUGUUGGGCAAGUUAUGUUAAUCGUUUACUGUGAAGAAAUUAGAGUGUUCAAAGCAGGCUUAUGCCGUUGAAUACGUUAGCAUGGAAUAAUGAGAUAGGACCUUGAUACUAUUUUGUUGGUUUGCGCAUUAAGGUAAUGAUUAAUAGGGUCAGUUGGGGGUAUUCGUAUUUCGUUGUCAGAGGUGAAAUUCUUGGAUUUACGAAAGACGAACGACUGCGAAAGCAUUUACCAAGGAUGUUUUCAUUAAUCAAGAACGA